GGGGAGGCGAAUGGGGCAGGACGAGAAGCAUUUCUCAUUGUAGAGACCUUUCCUUUUGAUACAACAUACACAGUACAGAAAUCAGAUAUUGCCAAUCAAAGUUCAGAGUUGGGGAGAAUAUAUAAAAUUCUGCUAGUAUUCUGAAAGUUGACCUAUGUGAAAACAAAGUGCUUUUCAUCUGAAAUAGCACCAAAACUGAUGCUGUUUUGAAUGCUUUUCAAAGUUUUUGAUGUGAGGGUCUCGAAACCAUAAAAGAGGACCUCAAACAGCAUCAAUCCAAAUGCAUUUUGAAACACACCCCAACCACAAUACCAAAAGGUAGAGUUGCCAAGUCAGGAGGGGGCUAGGGACGGCAAAAAUACCUCAUAAAUCCACUCCGUGAUUGGGUUCCGAGAACCAAAGUCUCGAUUGCUGCAUGGGAAACAUAUUCUGUUAUUGCUUUUGCUAUAUCUGUGCUUUCAAGUGCAACAUCAAGGCAAUGUACCUGAUACAAAAUAAAAAAUAAAAAAUCUGUAUGUUGAAAUGGAAAGGAGAAAACAAGACAUUUUCCACGCCUCAAGGUGCAUAUUUAUAUCGUGGAAAGGAGGAAUAACAAUGACAGGCUCAGAAACGUACAUCUUUGCGAGUACAAUAGCAUCGAAAUGUAAGGAAGAGAUCCUUUGCCAUCUUCUGCAGCUGCUGCUUCCCUGGUGAAGAAUAAUCACCAGGCGAUCCAUGGCCUGGUUGUGAAACAAUGCAAACAUGUGGAAGAGAAAGAAGAUUAGAACAUGAAACCUAGAACUUGAAAAACCACUUGAGAGAUCAAAGGAGCUGCAAGGCAUUGAAUGCAAGUUGAGCAACCCCUUUUCAAUUUUGGGGCACAGAGGUCGGUCGUAGCAUCAUUAAUCUGUCAUUAUUCUAGAUAACGAAUCAGAGAGAGAAUUAUAAAUUACUUGUGACAAAUGAUGAUGAUUUGUUAAAAACAUGGAUUAGAAUAAGAUUUUGGCCUUUGGAGAGAAGA